rnacentral:rRNA from 1 species
UGGGGAAUUUUGGACAAUGGGCGAAAGCCUGAUCCAGCAAUGCCGCGUGUGUGAAGAAGGCCUUCGGGUUGUAAAGCACUUUUGUCCGGAAAGAAAUCCUUGGCUCUAAUACAGUCGGGGGAUGACGGUACCGGAAGAAUAAGCACCGGCUAACUACGUGCCAGCAGCCGCGGUAAUACGUAGGGUGCAAGCGUUAAUCGGAAUUACUGGGCGUAAAGCGUGCGCAGGCGGUUUGCUAAGACCGAUGUGAAAUCCCCGGGCUCAACCUGGGAACUGCAUUGGUGACUGGCAGGCUAGAGUAUGGCAGAGGGGGGUAGAAUUCCACGUGUAGCAGUGAAAUGCGUAGAGAUGUGGAGGAAUACCGAUGGCGAAGGCAGCCCCCUGGGCCAAGUACUGACGCUCAUGCACGAAAGCGUGGGGGAGCAAACAGGAUUAGAUACCCCUGGUAGUCCACGCCCUAAACGAUGUCAACUAGUUGUUGGGGGAUUCAUUUCCUUAGUAACGUAGCUAACGCGUGAAGUUGACCGCCGGGGAGUACGGUCGCAAGAUUAAAACUCAAAUGAAUUGACGGGGU